rnacentral:lncRNA from 1 species
AUGGUUCACUACUCUCUUGACCCAGAAAACCCCACAAAAUCAUGCAAAUCAAGAGGUUCAAACCCAAACCUUCGCGUUCACUUUAAGAACACCCGGGAAACUGCUCAGGCCAUCAAGGGUUUGCAUAUCCGCAAGGCCACCAAGUAUCUGAAGGAUGUCACUUUAAAGAAGCAGUGUGUGCCAUUCCUGCGGUAUAAUGGUGGAGUCGGUAGGUGUGCCCAGGCCAAACAGUGGGGCUGGACAUGGACGAUGGCCAAAAAAGAGUGCUGAAUUUUUGCUGCACAUGCUUAAAAAUGCCGAGAGUAACGCUGAACUUAAGGGUUUAGACGUAGAUUCUCUUGUCAUUGAACACAUCCAGACGAACAUAAGAUGCGCCAACGAACCUACAGAGCUCAUGGACGGAUUAACCCACACAUGAGCUCCCCUGCCACAGUGAGAUGAUCCUCACUGAGAAGGAACAGAUCGUUCCAAAGCCAGCAGAGGAGGCUGCACAGAAGAAAAAGAUAUCCCAGGAGAAACUGAAGAAACAAAAACUCACGGCCCAGGAAUAA